UACGAAGGGGGCUAGCGUUGUUCGGAAUUACUGGGCGUAAAGCGCACGUAGGCGGAUAUUUAAGUCAGGGGUGAAAUCCCAGAGCUCAACUCUGGAACUGCCUUUGAUACUGGGUAUCUUGAGUAUGGAAGAGGUAAGUGGAAUUCCGAGUGUAGAGGUGAAAUUCGUAGAUAUUCGGAGGAACACCAGUGGCGAAGGCGGCUUACUGGUCCAUUACUGACGCUGAGGUGCGAAAGCGUGGGGAGCAAAC
rnacentral:rRNA from 1 species